rnacentral:tRNA from 1 species
ACUAUUUUGGCAGACAAGUGCGGUGGAUUUAGAAUCUAUAUAUAUAGAUUGUAUCUAUAGAUAGUA